UAGAGAUUAAAUAAUAUAAAUUGAAUAAUUUAAAAGGAAUGAAUCUUUACUUGAAAAUAAAUUGUGUAAAAAAUUUUUACAAUACCAAACUUACUAGCUUUAUAUAUUUAAUAUCAUAUUUUUUAUAAAAAAAUAUAAUAUAUAACUACUUUUUAAAAAAUUCAAUAUUUAAUUUAUUGAUUUUUAA
rnacentral:tRNA from 1 species